rnacentral:pre_miRNA from 1 species
AUCUAAAGGGCUUCAGAACUCCUUGGAAUUGGAUUUUGGAAGUCUUUUAGAAGA